CGGGGAGUAGCGCAGAUGGCAGCGCGCCUGUCUUGGGCACAGGAGGUCGCUGGUUCAAGUCCAGUCUCCCCGACCA
rnacentral:tRNA from 6 species